AUAUUAUAGAGAUUCUGUGAAUGACUAAACACUGUGUGCCUCAAGUUUCAACAUCUUGAUGGGGAAACAAGUUGCAGUGAACUGUACAAGCAACAACAAUCUAGUAAUUUACCCUGAUUUUCUUCUUUUUGUGUGCAUAGGUGCAUAGUGUCGAGAAAACUACGAUAAAGCAUUUUUCUCAACCUUUUGACUUCUUCAUUAGACUUAGGUUUAAUGUCUUUUUUUGGUUAUUGGACUUCUUUUUGUUUUUUUGAUUAUGUAGACUAUCUUCUUGUUAUUUCUCCUAUAGGCAUCUAGGCAAUGAGAUAGCUCAUUUGAAGUUUUCUAUUGAAUCUUGUACUAAGGAUAAUAGUGAGAGUUGCUUAAAAAAGCUAGAUUGGUUUAAAAGUGCCAUUGCUCCAACUUCAAUAUGGUGGGAAAAAAAGUGGGCUAUUGAUUUUUUAAUUCUUUGCAUUUUCAAUUUUUGUAUCCUCGGCUGUUUUCUUAUAAUUUCUACUUUGGAAUUUAAGUGUUCGCAUUCAUAUUUUUGUUCUUCAACUUUAUUUUUUGUAAUAAUGUGUGAAUUCUUUGUACAAAGGACAGAUUGUAGAGAUUCUGUGAAUGAAUAAACUCUAUGUGCCUCAAGUUCCAACAUCUUAAUGGGGAAACGAGUUGCAGUGAAUUGUACAAGCAACAACAAACUAGCAUUGGAUACUUUCAACACAGCAGUUGUUUCUCCUAAAUAUUAGGCUAUGUUCACAUCUUUUACAAUAUUUGCUAGUGCAAUAAUGUUUAAGGAUUAUUCUGGUCAAAGUGCAAGUAGCAUAGCAUCAGAGCUUUGUGGGUUUAUCACUGUGUUAUCGGGAACUACUGCAUUGCAUAGCACAAGAGAGCCAGAUCCACAUUUUGUUGUAGUUACAUGUCUCCUGCAUAUCAGUGGGC